CUUGUCAUUGAGGAAGUAAAAGUCGUAACAAGGUUUCCGUAGGUGAACCUGCGGAAGGAUCAUUAAAAAUACCAAAUAUUUUUAUACACCUUCAAAUUUUAUUGAUACUAUUCUUUAUUUCAUUCGAAAUAAAAAUAAAUAAUCUAAAUAUAACUUUUAACAAUGGAUCUCUUGGCUCUC
rnacentral:misc_RNA from 1 species